rnacentral:lncRNA from 1 species
CACACUUUGGGCUGUAAACCUGGACUCCUGACAGGAUCCUGUGGACAGAGAGGGCUGCAGGAGGAAACAGGGGGUGCUUAGAAAUACAGCUUGUUGCCAGUGUAAUGAGGAGUGCCUUGGCGACUGUGCCCGUGGGACAGGCCUUCUCUCGCUUUGUGUGCAGAACAGGAAGAGCCGCGCUCUGGCUCUGUGGACUGUGACCACUCAGCGGGCGUUGGAGGACGGCACCUGGAUGCAGAUGCCCCUCUUGCCAUGGGAGAGGAUGACAAAGUCCUUCUCAUGCUCCUGGAACGUGUCCAUGCUGGCGAUCUCCACCUCCUGGUAGAGCUUGGUGUACAGGGAGCCAAUGAAGUGCAUGUACUGCACCAGGGCCAGGAAGGACACCAGGGAGUCGAUGGUCUUGCGGCUUUUGGUGCUGAUCUUCUCAAUCAACUGAUCCAUGGUUCUGUUACUGGGAACACAAACUAGCACAGGCCUGUUGCCUUGCUGAGUAAACCACGCAACCAGCAUCGUGUAUUCCACAGAAACUGCAGGCAUAUACUAUGGAGAUCCUUCCUGGAAUAGGUAUCUUCUUCAUCUUCUUGGAAGUUCAACUCCUCCAACAACUGGCUGGUCUUGGCCACACUCUGGUCCAUGGCCACAUGCUGCAGGAUGCUCUAGUCUCCUGACCUGCAGAACCAGCUGUCUGGCUGCAGAGCUCACUCUGACCCGGCCUCCUUCGAUGCCACCUCUGAGGUUGCUGGGGGGCUUCUGCAUCUGGCUGGGGAGGGUGAAGUUGGUGAAGUCGAACUUGGAGCCCUGCUGUGCGGGUCAAGCAGCUCGGCUGCCUUGGAUGUCCAGGAAGCUGAAUGCCCACUAUCUGGGCCAGUAGCCUCCAUGCUCAUGGUGCCGCCCCAUAGGGCCCUCAGGCCAGUGCUGCGCCACACUCAAGUCUGCCACCAUGAUGAGGUGGAGGCGUGGCUCCUGCACUCCUGGACAGAACUGAGAUGCCUGCCGCAGCGUGACCUGGACCAAAAGACACGUGCAGGGAGCCCGUGCCGUUCUCCUAGGAGUCGUCCUCCCUCACAGUCCCCAGAAGGAAGCACUAACACCGCCCCCUGUCAUAAGUAGUUUUAAUUUUGCCUUUUUUAGCAGAUGUGAGGUGGC